CCUAAGUUUCUCAUAGGAGCCUUCAGAUGGGACCUGCUAGCUGCACGAAAACAAGAUCAUUGAUUCCACAUGAUGAAACAGCUUCCCAGUGAAAAUUGUCAUGACAACCUGGAGAGAGGACACACUUUGCAGCAAGGCAGGCAUGGAGAGGAGGGACUGCAGCACGCUGAAAGCCGUGGGUCAUUGAUGUGACUGUUACUGAUGAAGUGACACCUCUGCAAAGGCAGACAAGGUGAGAGAGUCAAAGCAUGCCAAUAAGAUCCUCCUAACGAGUCUGGUUGUGGAACCUGACAGGCAGAUACUGAAAUGUUCAUGGAAGUGAAAGAACCAAGAAUAACCAACACAUUCUGGAAGACCAACAAGUGGAAUAAUCAAAACUGGAGUGCUGAACCACCAUGUAUGAAAUCCGACAACUCAAGACCACAUGUCACGGUAACAGGCAGGGGGCUCCUGAAAGAUAGUCCCAGCUGAGCACCCAGAUACAUAAGUGAAGACACUCCAGAGGAUCCCAAGUCCCAGCUGUAGAGUCACCACCAACA